rnacentral:rRNA from 1 species
CCUACGGGAGGCAGCAGUGAGGAAUAUUGGUCAAUGGGCGGAAGCCUGAUCCAGCCAAGUAGCGUGCGGGAUGAAGGCCCUACGGGUCGUAAACCGCUUUUGCACGGGGAUAACACCCUCCACUUGUGGAGGUCUGCAGGUACCGUUCGAAUAAGGGCCGGCUAAUUCCGUGCCAGCAGCCGCGGUAAUACGGAAGGCCCGGGCGUUAUCCGGAUUUAUUGGGGUUAAAGGGGGCGUAGGCGGGCGCUUAAGUCCGCUGUGAAAUGCCGCGGGUCAACCGGGCCCCGGAGGUGGAAACUGGAGGGCGUGAGUGCACAAGAGGGAGGCGGAAUUCGUGGUGUAGCGGUGAAAUGCAUAGAUAUCACGAGGAACUCCGAUUGCGAAGGCAGCCUGCCGGGGUGCGACUGACGCUGAGGCUCGAAGGUGCGGGUAUCAAACAGGAUUAGAUACCCUAGUAGUC